rnacentral:rRNA from 1 species
UGGGGAAUAUUGCACAAUGGGCGCAAGCCUGAUGCAGCGACGCCGCGUGCGGGAUGGAGGCCUUCGGUUGUAACCGCUUUGUUCAAGGGCAAGGCAGGCUUUCGGGCCUGUUGAGUGGAUUGUUCGAAUAAGCACCGGCUAACUACGUGCC